UACGAAGGUGGCAAGCGUUGUUCGGAUUUACUGGGCGUACAGGGAGCGUAGGCGGUUGGAUAAGCCCUCCGUGAAAUCUCCAGGCUUAACCUGGAAAGUGCAGAGGGGACUGUUCAGCUAGAGGAUGGGAGAGGAGGGCGGAAUUCCCGGUGUAGCGGUGAAAUGCGUAGAGAUCGGGAGGAAGGCCGGUGGCGAAGGCGGCGCUCUGGAACAUUUCUGACGCUGAGGCUCGAAAGCGUGGGGAGCAAACAGG
rnacentral:rRNA from 1 species